GACGAACGCUGGCGGCGUGCUUAACACAUGCAAGUCGAACGAAGAGCGAUGGAAGCUUGCUUCUAUCAAUCUUAGUGGCGAACGGGUGAGUAACGCGUAAUCAACCUGCCCUUCAGAGGGGGACAACAGUUGGAAACGACUGCUAAUACCGCAUACGAUCUAAUCUCGGCAUCGAGGAUAGAUGAAAGGUGGCCUCUACAUGUAAGCUAUCACUGAAGGAGGGGAUUGUGUCUGAUUAGCUAGUUGGAGGGGUAACGGCCCACCAAGGCGAUGAUCAGUAGCCGGUCUGAGAGGAUGAACGGCCACAUUGGGACUGAGACACGGCCCAGACUCCUACGGGAGGCAGCAGUGGGGAAUCUUCCGCAAUGGACGAAAGUCUGACGGAGCAACGCCGCGUGAGUGAUGACGGCCGUCGGGUUGUAAAGCUCUGUUAAUCGGGACGAAAGGCCUUCUUGCGAAUAGUGAGAAGGAUUGACGGUACCGGAAUAGAAAGCCACGGCUAACUACGUG
rnacentral:rRNA from 1 species